UUUAUGAAGUUACAAAGUUGCAAGUAACUCCUCAAAACACUUUAUUUCUAUCUCACAAGGAAAAGAAGAAGAAGAAAGAAAACCUCCAGCUUGAACAGACUAUUUCCCAGUUGGCAUAUUAGAAAUGGCUUCAUUUCUGAGAGAUGACAAAGUUAAUCCUGUUUUGAGUUAUAUUGGAUGAAAAUGGCAUUUUGAGCUUGCUUUGCAUUUACUGAAUAAGCCAUUGAGUCCAACAUUUACUGAGUGCCAUUAAGUGGAAGACACAGUGUUAGACAUUAAGGUUAUAAAGCAUCUCAUCUAACUUCUUCUUUCAUCUUAAAGAAUUCUGUUCAACUCCAAAGGUAAAUUGCAGAAAUGUAUGUGUGCAUACAUGUCUGUGUGCAUCUGUAUGUACGAGUUUGUACCUAU
rnacentral:lncRNA from 1 species